rnacentral:rRNA from 1 species
CGGGUGAGUAACACGUGAGUGACCUGCCUUUUAGACUGGAACAACUUACCGAAAGGUGAGCUAAUGCCGGAUGAGUUAUAUAAGUGCAUGUUUAUAUAGGAAAAGUUGGGGAGACCUGACGCUGAAAGAUGGACUCGCGUCCCAUUAGCUAGUUGGUAGGGUAAUGGCCUACCAAGGCGACGAUGGGUAGCCGGCCUGAGAGGGUGGCCGGCCACACUGGGACUGAGACACGGCCCAGACUCCUACGGAAGGCAGCAG